UAAAAUACUAUAGAUCACUUUUUAAAGUUUUUGGAAAACUCUACCUCAAGAAAACUCUAUUUGAGGAUACUUUUUAAGGUUAAGUUACUUAAAGUUCAUUCAUUUCCUAUCACUAGGGUGUGAGGAAGGCAAAGAAAAGCUCUGACAUCUCCCCUCACCCACAGCAAUCAGGUGGCUAAAGCUGGUACAGAGAGAGGGACAAUGGAUGUUGGGUUUGGCCUUAAAUGAGAGGAGAACUGCACGUUUGCAAGAGGUUCGUGUAUCCUAUAAGAUGGACUCAGAAGGAAGGGCACCAGCUGGUGUUCAGGAGAAAGAGCCAAGCAAAUGAACAGGAGGGGUCCUUUCUGAGUUGCACUUGAAAUAGGCAUUUUAGUUUUGCUUAUUUAUGACACUGUUUUUAACAGGAAAGAUACAUUCCAAGUAAAUUUCUGUCACUUUACUUUUGUUUUUAAUGUGUAUCCUUCCUGCCAUUAGUUUUGGCCUUCCAUAGAGAGAGCUCAUGGUUUAAACCCUGUUCCUCCACUUAUUAAGUAUGUUUAGUUUUGUUCCUUGGUCUCGGGAAGAUUCUGUGAGUUGAGGCCACUCAGGAGUUACGGUGAGUCAUAUGAAACCAUAUACAAGGCAGUCCAUGGCACUAAGUCUCUUCCUCUUG
rnacentral:lncRNA from 1 species